rnacentral:misc_RNA from 1 species
UCUCCGUAGGUGAACCUGCGGAGGGAUCAUUACAGAGUUCUCGCCCUCACGGGUAGAUCUCCCACCCACUGUUAUCGUUACUGUCGUUUCUUUGGCGGGCCGCCGGGUCCCCGGCCGCCGGCGCCUAGCUGCCGGCGCGCGCCCGCCAGAGGCCUUCAAGCUCUGAAUGUUAGUGUCGUCUGAGUACUAUAUAAUAGUUAAAACUUUCAACAACGGAUCUCUUGGUUCUG